AGCUACAUUGUCUGCUGGG
rnacentral:ncRNA from 2 species